CAGUCGCCGCGGUAAGACGGAGGAUGCAAGCGUUAUCCGGAAUGAUUGGGCGUAAAGCGUCUGUAGGUGGUUUAUUAAGUCUGCUGUUAAAGCACAGGGCUCAACCCUGUAUGGGCGGUAGAAACUGGUAGGCUUGAGUAUGGUAGGGGUAGAGGGAAUUCCCGAUGUAGUGGUGAAAUGCGUUGAUAUCGGGAAGAACACCAAAGGCGAAAGCACUCUGCUGGGCCAAUACUGACACUGAGAGACGAAAGCUAGGGGAGCAAAUGGGAUUAGAUACCCCCGUAGUCCCUGUCUCUUAUAC
rnacentral:rRNA from 1 species